CGGACGGGUGAGUAAUGUCUGGGAAACUGCCUGAUGGAGGGGGAUAACUACUGGAAACGGUAGCUAAUACCGCAUAACGUCGCAAGACCAAAGAGGGGGACUUUCGGGCCUCUUGCCAUCGGAUGUGCCCAGAUGGGAUUAGCUAGUAGGUGGGGUAACGGCUCACCUAGGCGACGAUCCCUAGCUGGUCUGAGAGGAUGACCAGCCACACUGGAACUGAGACACGGUCCAG
rnacentral:rRNA from 1 species